CAAAACCAAAGAUCAAAGGAGACCAUAGGAGGAAAUUUUUGGCCUAGAGAAACAACUACGAAACAGAGAAAACAACACCACCGUCGGAAUUUGAGUUGAUUUCCAAAUUAAAGGAACCCGUUUGAUGGAUGGAUUUUUUUUUUGUUGAUGGCGAUCGGAUGAGGUUCUAAUACUUGUUGGAUCUGAAACCCUGAAACUAGAGCAGAACCAGGUGGGCGAUCUUCUUCUUCAUCCAAACACAGACGUCAUCCAGUAAAAAGGUUAGAUCUUUGCUGCUUCCUGCAACCAAGAUUCCACCUGUGACUAUCAUCUCUCCAGUUCUGGGAUUCCCUACAAUACAAAAUUGUUCUCCUUUUCCACUUAACAAGCUGAUUAUUUAUAUAGGUCUUGCUCGUCAUUUCUCGCUACCCGCUACCCUUUCAGCUCAGCCCAAUACUGUUUUGUUUUCCUCUUUCGUGGGAUUCUCUUUUGUUUUAUAUCUCUAGCUAAAAAUUGAAAAAAGAUACAAGGAGAUACGGGAAAGAUUUAAUUUUGUAGACACCUAGAUGGAUAUUACAAUUUUCUUGGUGGUUGGUAAUAUUUAAGUCGUUUUGUUCUGACUUCCGAGCAACAAGCCGAUAACAAAGCCCGGAAUUCUUCUAAAUUCCCGUCUUGGUUCUUCUUUGCCUUUUCCCCUUAUAUACAAUCCCUCUUUAAGCUUAAAGCUCUUACUAUUUUGGGUUUUACUUGAUUUCCGGGAGUGCACUGUGUUUGUGUAGAUAUUUACUCACCUGCAAACAUGCAUGCUAGGCAUAGAAGUCCUGGCAAUGGCUAUAGGUCUAGUUCUAUGGGGAUGGGGCUUGCCGCUUCCCGGAUAUCCCCUGAAACUUCGGGUAGAGGCCAUGGCUUUUACAAUUCAGAGUACCGCAACUUCAAGCGUGGCUUUGGGCGUGGCCAGAGCCACCCAAAAUCCUUUCAACCACAUCCGCCCACACCACGCAAAGGCACUGACAUAUUUAUGGAAGCAGGCCGGCUUGCUGCGGAAUACUUAGUCUCGCAGGGAUUGUUGCCCUCUAGUGUGCUACCUGCCAAAUGGCAGAAUGGUAGUUUGAAGAAGCAGAUGGGUGAUUAUCAGGAUUAUAGAUCACCAGAGGGUGAUAACUUGCACCUUCCACCAGAUGGCCGAACGUCAGCCCUUGCUCGCCUGGGAAAUGCUACCUCUGAUUUGGGAUUAGGCAGGAGGAGGUACCUUGAUGAUUAUAACCCAACAGGGUCGAGAAAUCUUUCUAAAGGAAGAAGGAAGGAGGGAUCUUAUCGAAGUCAUAGCUCCGAUUGGGGUCGAGAAUAUGGGAGAAGUGGGUCAUGGCCAGAUAGAAUUAGGGGUUCUCCCGAUAUGGAAAUUGAUGAUGAUAAUGUUUCUGGACAUCAUGAAGAGCCACAAGUUGGUAAUGGAUUGCAGAAGCCUGUUUCAAGCGAGUUUGCACCAAAAAGUGAGGAAUUAGAUUACUCAGAAUUUGAUGAUAAGUACAACCUACAGGAUGAAGUGGGCUCAAAGGCAAGUUCCUCUAGUGCUGGGAAAGAUCUAAAGUUGGAGACUGAUGGCGAACUCCUGAAGAGUUCUGAUGAUUCUACAAAUUUUAGCACAGAGGCUGGAGAGCUGAAGGAUGGCAGCAAUAAUGACGAAACUGAGAAGGAGGGUACCGUGAAGAAUUUACCCUACCAGUAUUCUUCUACAGAAGAUGAUCCCUCAGGCAAGACUAGUGCUGAUUUACUGGCACUCUGCAAAUUUGCCAAGGUGCCUACCAAAACGCGUUCUUCCUUGACAUUGAAGAACUUAAAGACUGACUCAGUUUCAUAUAAUGAACAGGAAAGCGUUUCUGAUAUGGGGGCUCCCAGUGGUCCUCAAAAUGCCCUGAUUGAAGAAAAUUCUCUGGGAGGUUCCUCUGGUGAUAUGCUAAUAAAUAAAAGUCAGGACACAAAAUGCCCUGAUUCUGAACUUUCUAAAGACUUGUCUGUUCAUUCCUUUGGGGAUGGAGGGGACUUGGAUCGCAUCUAUGGUGUUGAGCAGGGUAAGUGUACAAGGUCUCAAUCUUUCCCUGAUAGAGCCCUUUUGCAUGACAGUGAGCAGGAAUUGGUUGAGGGGAUGCUUGGUCUCCAAAGAUCCAGCUCUAUGGUUGUGGUUAAAGAGAGAGGUGAAAAACGAGGUUUGGAGCAACGGGGCUUGAUGGAGGGAGCCAAAAAACCAAGAGAAUGGCUUCAGCCCUUGGCUACCAAGGCUGAGUUCUUGUCCUUUUCUGAUUUUGGUGAUAAGAAAGGAGGUUCACUGGAAGGGACAGCUUCAUCUUCUGAGAAAGUUGGUGUGACUGAUAAUCAAGAGAUCCAAGACAGCUUGGUUAGUAAUACUCAAUUUCCAGAUGGAGAUGGUGAAUCAAGUGUCAAUUAUGCACAAGAAAAGCAGCUUUUUCCAAAUGCAUUCAAGAUCUGUGACCUUAAUCUGAUGGAAGCUUCUGAUAUAAAUGAAAAUCAUCAUAAUGAUCCAAUUAUUAUGUACUCUACUCCUUCAGAGACCAAGAAUGAAGCAGCAACCAUUGAUAUAGAUUUGUCAAUGAGUAAUUCCAACAAUUCUGGUGGAGGAAAUAGGCAUACAAGUAACUGUAAGGAGAUUGAAGUAAUUGAUCUAGAGAAUGAUUCUACCCAUGAAGACAAGGCUGUUGAUAAUUUGGAGAGGAAGAGUGAACCAAUUUUUGUGAGCAUGAAUGGUGAUAUGACUGAUGUUUCGGAUCAUUAUGAUGGGCUUAUGAUCACAGAGUUCCUCGGAAAUAUUUCCAGUUGCCCUUCAGAUGAUAUCAAUCCUCAUCCCAUGCAAAAUGAAAACAUUAACCCUCUGCAGACUGAGAACAUCAAUCCUCUGCAGAAUGAGAUGGGCCUUCAUAAUGGAGAGGUACAACAGUAAUUGCUGGAACUCUUGGGUUUGACGACUCCAUAUAUAUGUCACUGGGAGAAAUACCAUUAAGCUUUUUGCCAGCCUGGGAGCAACCACCAGCACAGGAGUACGAAAAGCCCUUCUGAUUCUACAAUUGCUCUAAAUUUGUGACAAAAUACUGCUCAGAAUGUUAACAUUAGUCACUGAGGUUCUUUUCAUUAUCGUUAGUUCCAUCUUUUGAUUUAGUUUAGGUUUGCCAAUGAAUUAUGCUUGUAUAUCUCUGCUGCUGAUAGGAAUUUGAGAGAUGGUGAAUGCUUUUCUUUCAUUUGGCUGCUUCCAGUCAUCAUUACGUGAAAGAAAAUUCAUCAUGUUGGUUUCUAAAGUAUCUUACUUGUACUCCUUUGCUUGAACUGGUCUGAGCUCUAGAGUGACAUCAAGCAAGCGACUAAAGUUCUAUUUAGUUGAGGAUGCUGCAGAUUGAAAUAAUUUUGAGAGGGUAGUAGUAUGACAUCUCACUUGUCGGAGCCCUCUGAAUGAUGGAUUCAUGGCAAGUGCUACUAUGCUUUGAUGGGCAGUGAUAAUUAAAUGUUGAUUCAAUAUAUUCUGGGCUGUUUAGACAGGAAAAUUUGAAGGUUUUGGACUCUAGCGCUUGAGAGGGUAUUUGAUGCAAUAUGUGUAACAGUGCAUAAAAGAGAAAUAAUAUUAUCAGAAGCUGGAUUUAAGAGAGUCCAGAAACAUUCAUUGAAUAUGUUUUUCAAUUUGGAGAAGCACGUUAAGCUUGAGAUACCAAAUGCAAGAAGCAGAGACAGGAGGAUCGUCAGUCCACUGACAGUCUGAGUUGAUGUUCUUUUUGACAAAAAGGGCUCCUUGGAAUAGGAGGUCGGCUCAUUCUCCAUUCACACCAUUUUCACCCAUAACGUGUGCGUGAGUAGAGAAAUAAAUAAUUGCUUUAUAACAUUUAGUAAAUGACAUCCAUUGUUACUCUGCCCCUCUUUUAUCAGUGUAGUUGCCCUCGAGGGAAUGAAUAAAGUUGCAGAGAAUGGGUGGUGCAGCAAACUUGUUACUCUUCCAUGACCGUGAAUCAAGCACGCUUUAAGGCGAGAGGAGCUGUCACUACUCACUAACAACUAUGCUACGCUUGAUGCUUCAGGAAACCAUGGUUUUGCUUUCUGAGAUAACAAAACACAAUGUAAAGGGUGAGUGAUGAUGAUGGUGGGGCUGGAUAAUUAGGGGGUGGGGCGUUGAAACUGGGAACACAGAGAGGUUACAUGUCCUUGUCAUACGCGCAAAUGCAAUGCUAAUUUGCACAUAUUUGGAGUUUCUUUCAUGGGAAAUUAACUGCACCAGCGGCGCAAGCGGAGGGGGAGGGAGGGUUGUGUACGUACAAGCAUGACUGGAAUUGGCAAAAAUACGUAAUAAAUGAGUUGGAAGGGACCCGAUUGAGGUAGACGUAGACAUCAAACUGUCACAUUCCUUUCAACGCCCAUCUUGAUCCCUGUGUGGUGCUGUGCUGUGCCCGAUCCCGUUGUCUAGGUGAGUCGUAAGUUGCGCAACAAACAAAACCAAUACUAAGAGCAAAUCAUCCUUAGAUAAGAUUGAGAUUUAGAUUAGACUCAUAGAUAUUCUUUUAUGCUAAGUUGCAUGUCUAAGUCUAACACUCGUUAUUACUACCUACGUAGCCUGUUCCUGCCUUUUAAUUCCAUUAUAUGACCAAACACCUCCAUAUGUGGUAUGGUAGGUCGGAACAAAUUACGCAGGAUUCAGUUUAUGGUAAAAUUGUUAGGCCAAUGAAUGCUAAGUGUUAAUUAAUUAA